CAGCGUUAAAGUAUUCUGAGGGUGAGUGUAGAGUCAGAGCCACACAGAGCCCGAACCCUUUCUCCAUCUUCUGUUCCUUCCCUUGCAGUAUUCUGGAUUAACAGAAGAAAAUAGCCACCCGACCUCCAGAUGAUUUUCCACCUGUGCCUGGCAAGACUGGG